UUGAAUUACUAGGGGAGCUAAUGCUGAGAGGAAGUUCUGACUUCGACCCUUAACCUGAACUAGGUAAUGCUAGCGUAGGGAAGUGAGGCAAAGUACUA
rnacentral:ncRNA from 2 species